rnacentral:rRNA from 1 species
CUACGGGAGGCAGCAGUGGGGAAUAUUGCACAAUGGGGGGAACCCUGAUGCAGCAACGCCGCGUGGAGGAUGACACAUUUCGGUGCGUAAACUCCUUUUAUAUAGGAAGAUAAUGACGGUAUUAUAUGAAUAAGCACCGGCUAACUCCGUGCCAGCAGCCGCGGUAAUACGGGGGGUGCAAGCGUUACUCGGAAUCACUGGGCGUAAAGAGCAUGUAGGCUGGUUUGUAAGUUGGAAGUGAAAUCCUAUGGCUUAACCAUAGAACUGCUUCCAAAACUACUUACCUAGAGUAUGGGAGAGGUAGAUGGAAUUUCUGGUGUAGGGGUAAAAUCCGUAGAGAUCAGAAGGAAUACCGAUUGCGAAGGCGAUCUACUGGAACAUUACUGACGCUCAGAUGCGAAAGCGUGGGGAGCAAACAGGAUUAGAUACCCGGGUAGUC